AAACGCUUGAAGUCAGUCGCGUCUUCUGGAAAUCAACCUUGCUCCUGCUUGGUGUAUUUUCCUGUCGACGGGUCAACAUCAGUUUUGACCGCUGGAUAAAGUGUGAGGGAAUGUGGCUCCCCCGGGAGUGUUAUAGCCCUUGCUCGUAUACAGCGGUUGGGACUGAGGAACUCAGCACGCCGCAAGGCAGGGCUUCGGCCACUUUCGUGCUUAGGAUGUUGGCAUAAUGGCUUUAAGCGA
rnacentral:rRNA from 1 species